UUUUCAAUCAACUUCAUUUAUUCCUAAAAUCACCCUUUAUUGAAAAUUAAAUUUUAAACUUUUUUCUUUUCUCUCUCAACUGCACUUUCUCUCUCCAAGCAUCAUCACACUUAUCUUCAUGACCUUAAAGCUUUUUUUCUCUGCUUUUACAUCGAAAACUAAUAAUCUCAAACAUUUUAAUCAGACAAUACCCAUUAGAGUGGCUUUAAGGAUGUGAUUGACCUUAAGAAUCUGGCCUAUUGGUUUGUUAAAUCUCGUUUUCUAUAAAAAAAAAAUUAUUUCCUUUUCGGGUUGUUAAAGUUUGAUUUUUAAGAGUCUUCAUUGAUAAUGUUAGAUUGAAAUAUACUUUAAUCGGAAUUUAUGAAGUGAGUUCAAUCAAGAAUUUUGAGCACAUCUAUUCCAUCACCGGCCUCAUUUAAUUAAUGAACCAAGACUUUGUUUUGAUUUAAAGUAUACUUUCAAUUCAUGAUUUUCAUCUAAAUACUCUUUGAUUUCUAUAGCAAAAUAAAUUUGCUAGAUCAACAAAGUCAAAAUAAUACCAAGCCUGUCGCACGAAGCUACGCGCGACAGGCGCCUGUCGUACAAAGUUGCCUGUCGCACCAAAAGACAGAUUGUCCCACGACUCACAGUAAGUAACCGCACUGAAACUCUUUCGCAAGUUCAAAAAAUAAUUCAUACCACUCAGUGAUGUCGAUUAAAAGUAUAAAGAAAAUAAACUUGUUGUAUAUUGACAUAUGAACGACCAUCUCGUCAUUCCAGAUCUAGAUUCUCCUUUUUUCAGCAAGCAUAAACAUAAAAGGUCAAUUAUUGGUUAGACAAAAAUUGUCAGCAUUUACAGAAUUGGGAAAGAAAAGAAGUAGUUCUUUAUAUGAAAAUUUCCAAGUAAAUUAAAUUAUGUUUUUCGAUAACAGUUUUCACAAAUAAAACAUCUUAUUUUUAUCAUAACGUUAAAAUAAAUAUUGUAUGUCAAACGAAAAUAAUAUAUUAAUCUUCUUACACUAAAUU
rnacentral:lncRNA from 1 species